CGGCAGCACAGUAAGAGCUUGCUCUUAUGGGUGGCGAGUGGCGGACGGGUGAGGAAUACAUCGGAAUCUACCUUUUCGUGGGGGAUAACGUAGGGAAACUUACGCUAAUACCGCAUACGACCUUCGGGUGAAAGCAGGGGACCUUCGGGCCUUGCGCGGAUAGAUGAGCCGAUGUCGGAUUAGCUAGUUGGCGGGGUAAAGGCCCACCAAGGCGACGAUCCGUAGCUGGUCUGAGAGGAUGAUCAGCCACACUGGAACUGAGACACGGUCCAGACUCCUACGGGAGGCAGCAGUGGGGAAUAUUGGACAAUGGGCGCAAGCCUGAUCCAGCCAUACCGCGUGGGUGAAGAAGGCCUUCGGGUUGUAAAGCCCUUUUGUUGGGAAAGAAAAGCAGUCGGCUAAUACCCGGUUGUUCUGACGGUACCCAAAGAAUAAGCACCGGCUAACUUCGUGCCAGCAGCCGCGGUAAUACGAAGGGUGCAAGCGUUACUCGGAAUUACUGGGCGUAAAGCGUGCGUAGGUGGUUGUUUAAGUCUGUUGUGAAAGCCCUGGGCUCAACCUGGGAAUUGCAGUGGAUACUGGGCGACUAGAGUGUGGUAGAGGGUAGUGGAAUUCCCGGUGUAGCAGUGAAAUGCGUAGAGAUCGGGAGGAACAUCCAUGGCGAAGGCAGCUACCUGGA
rnacentral:rRNA from 1 species